UAUAUGUGUGGUACUGUUAGUGGUAUUUUAUUUCUGUAGGAUUUUGUUUUGUUAUUUAAUGUUCCCAGCAAUUUAGUUAUAUUUUCAUUUUGAGUUUUCUUGUCAUACCAGAAACCGCCAGCAGGUGGCUUGUGAGUUACACUCUGGUUUAGACAGCAGAAAACUAUUAGAAGAAGAAGAAAACCGUAGCUGGCUGUAGCACGUUGUGCGAAUUACUGCAUGCUAUAAGAUAAAUUCUUGAUUAAUUCCGGUAACGGUUAAGAGAAAAGAAGAUCCGUGACCUGAUCCCUGGCAGUAAAACACAUUUUUACUGUGAUUUUCUCUGGUGGGUUUUUUUAGAACCCCAUUCAACUUUGAAGACUGUCCAGCUGCAUAGCAUCGCAGGCCUGGAUUGGAUUGCUGAGCUCCAGGGUUCAACUCAAGACCUGGGACUGCUGGAUCCGCUGCCUACUUUGCACCGGAUAAGAUAAGAUUUUGGAUCCAAAGAAACACAUGGCCAUUUAACAAAGACUUGACUGACUGACUUAAAUUACUGAACUAAGAAAACAAAACUUCCAAAGGACGAACUGAACUAUAAGGAAUCUGAACCAAAAGAAAAUACACUGCCUGAUAAAAAAGGUGGACACUUUAUGUUGGAACAAAAAAAAAACUGUACCGUAAUAUUCUGUUUCAAGUUGUAUUAAAUAAUCUGUUCAUUCUUGAUAA